rnacentral:rRNA from 1 species
CCUACGGGAGGCAGCAGUAGGGAAUAUUGCUCAAUGGGGGAAACCCUGAAGCAGCAACGCCGCGUGGAGGAUGAAGGUCUUCGGAUUGUAAACUUCUUUUGUUAGAGAAGAUAAUGACGGUAUCUAACGAAUAAGCACUGGCUAAUUCCGUGCCAGCAGCCGCGGUAAUACGGAGGGUGCAAGCGUUACUCGGAACCACUGGGCGUAAAGAGCGCGUAGGCGGGAUAGCAAGUCAGAUGUGAAAUCCUAUGGCUUAACCAUAGAACUGCAUUUGACACUGUUAUUCUGGAGUAUGGGAGAGGUAGGUGGAAUUCUUGGUGUAGGAGUGAAAUCCGUAGAUAUCAAGAGGAAUAUUCAUUGCGAAGGCGACCAGCUAGAACAUAACUGACGCUGAUGCGCGAAAGCGUGGGGAGCAAACAGGAUUAGAUACCCGAGUAGUC